rnacentral:lncRNA from 1 species
CUUGCUAGGGCCCACCACCAUACAAGGCAGCAUGCUACCCCACCACUACAAGGCAGCUUGCUAGGGCCCACCACCUACAAGGCAGCUUGCUACGGCCCCCAACCUACAAGGCACUUGCUACGGCCCACCACACAAGGCAGCUGCUACGGCCCACCACCUACAAGGCAGCUUGCUACGCCCACCACCUACAAGCAGCUUGCUGGGCCCACCACCUACAAGGCAGCUUGCUACGCCCAACCACCACUACAAGGCAGCUUGCUACGGCCCACCACCUACAAGGCAGCUUUGCUACGGCCCACACCACAAGGCAGCUGCUGUGGCCACACCACUACAAGGCAGCUUGCUACGGCCCACCACCUAACAAGGCAGCUUGCUACGCCCACCACCUACAAAGGCAGCAUGCUACGGCCCACCACCUACAAGGCAGCUUGCUACGGCCACCCAAACCUACAAGGCAGCUUGCUACGCCCACCACCUACAAGGCGCUUGCUACUGCCCACCACUACAAGGCAGCUUGCUACUCGCCCACACACUAAACAGCUUGCUUACGCCCACCACCUACAAGGCAGCUUGCUACUGCCACACCACCACAGGCAUCUUGCUACGCCCACCACCUACAAGGCAGAUCUUGCAACGGCCCACCACCCACAAGUGCAGCCAAUCAACGCCCCCACCCACAGGCAGCAUGCUACGGCCCACCACCCACAAGGCAGCAUGCUACGGCCCACCACCUACAAGGCAGCUUGCUACGGCCCACAACCUACAAGGAACAAUUAAACUUGAAAUAAGGUUUUACCUGCACCGGUCGCCGAACACAGUUUCCCUUCUGAAAAGAACUUGCAAAUCAUAGCUGCAGCUGGUUGACUGGUGUUGAGAUCAUGGGAAUAUCGACAGUUGAUGCCUUCUUUGCAAAGCCCAUGCAUGAAAUACCUGCGAAUAAACCAAAGACAAAAAAGUCACACAAAUGAUUUUAAAUCUGCUCUGUUGAAAUACCUGCGGAAUGAAAAGACAAAAUUGAAAAAUGUCGGCUAAAGUUACUUCACAUCGAUUACAACAGAGGUGUUCAAACAAACAGCCUGAAUGUAGCUUUUGAACCAAACGAUGAUGCUCGUUGUAAAACGUUACUGUGGGAACAUGAAGACUAGAAACAAUUCUUCCUGUUAUCAAUAUUAUUAUUUWUUUUUUUUAUCACUUGCGACAAAAUAAAGGCCUAAAAUGACACCAUUAUUUCAGGAGCUUUGACUCAAUACUCCAUUGGUGUAACUACAACUAAUAUCCAGCGGAAUUCAAAGACCAGUGGAUUACACUGGUAAACACAGUAGGCACUAUUACAGAACUGGCAUGGACGUUGAUGACCACGUUCAGAGUGUAAUUAACAUUAGAUAACAGAAGUAAAUCACUUGCUUAUAUAAUUCUAGCCUUUUAGCUGGUUGUCUCUACCGCAUUUCAGCUUUGGUCGAGGAAAGACCUCUGUGCGAAAUAUCCAACCAUAUUUACACCCCCCGGAAUCAUUUCAGUGUUUGGCUGAUAAAUAUUACCAUAUUAAACCAUUUUAUGAUUUUAAUUAUAUUGAAUUCAGUGUCUGUUCGCCGCUGGGUCUCCGUGCGUUUUCCUUUUGUGUUGCCAUUGCGGAUGUUACUGUGUAUCACUUUGAAUCGUAUGGGGGAAUAUCUCUCUAGUUAAUAAAUGUCUCAACUGCAGGACGAACCAGUUUUACCAUCGGCUGCCUGUAUCACAACAAAACACAGCUGGGCUUGCUACCYGAGCACAAAACACGGCCAAAAWCCCCGGCGUUUUGGUUACAAACCAUGGACAACAUCAACAUAGUGGUGCUAAAAUGAUCCCCGGGUCUUGUCGUUACCUGCAGGUGACGUGUUUGGUCCAGGCUCCUGGUAUUGCUGGAGCCGCUGUAGCUGCUGCCUCCGCCAUUGCUGUUAUGUUGAGGUUGAAGCCCAGUACCCGGAUCUUCCCGGAAAGUCGAUCUCCGAAUCGGGAAUCUUCGGAAAAUCGACGCUGCUGCUGUUUAUCUUCAUGUGACRUGUAAUGUAAUGAAGCCGAGUAKCCGGAUCUUCCGGAAAGUCGAGCUCUGAAUCGGGAAUCUUCGGAAAAUCGACGCUGCUGCUGUUUCUCUGCAUGUGACCUYUAAUGAAGCCCAUGCACCGACCUACCGCAAGAGGGCACGCCAGAGCAGCAGGAUAUUUCAGGCAAAUCAAUCAAAUAACAGAUAGAACAAUGAGACAGAUAUUUUACCGGAUGUAUAAAUGUGAAGCAUCCGGUUGGGUCAAAUAUGGGGAUGAGAAGAAGCCCAAUGGACGGCAYUGGAGAAYAUCGAGGGCAAUUCAUUUUGGCCGAGAUUAUGKWAAUUCUCAUCUAUGAAUAAUUUGAUCUCAAUACAGUCAGUGUUCUGUUCCCCAAACUAGAAUUUGUUACAGAGUGGACAAAUUUUUGUUGAUUUUACCCUUUGCCAAAUUUGUAAAAAAUGUUGUUGUUUAGGAGCGUAGGCGUCCCCUAACGGAAAUAUGCAAAUAAUGUUAGAAUGCACCAAUGGGAUCUAGCUAGCUAGGAUCUGGUCCCUACUUGCUUCUUCCGCCCACUAUGACUAAUUUGUUCCCAUCGGAAARGACAGGCUGGCAUAUCUUGGGUCAGUUGUAAAAAAUCUUUGAUUCACAWUAUGAGGUCAUAAUAAACUGACAGAACAGAUAUGCUGUUAUGCAAAWGCAACAUCACAUCCUGAGGUGWGCAGCGGUCUAAGGCACUGKAUCGCCAGUGCUAGAGGCGUCACUACAGACCUUGGRURGAUCCCGGGCUGUAUUACAACCGGCUGUGAUCGUCCCAUAGGGUGACGCCAAUUGGCCUAGCGUCGUCCGGGUAAGUGGAGGGUUUGGCCGGGGUAGGCUGUCAUUGUAAAUAAGAAUUUGUUCUUAAACGACUUGUCUAGUUAAACAAAAAAUCAAAAAAUACAUUUUUACAUCGAUUGCGUAAAUC